CAUUGUGAGCUGGUAUCUGAAAGAAUUAGGCCGCAAAGCUCUGGUUCGAGGAACACAAAUAAUGUUAUGCAAAAAAAUGAUGGGCGAAUGUGACAAACAACAUAAAAUCAAAACACUACGAAUUAGUAUGGUUGUAUAUAUGACGAAUAGACGGAGUGAAAGAGA
rnacentral:ncRNA from 1 species